rnacentral:rRNA from 1 species
ACAUUUCAAACGGCAGCGGGUCCUGCAAUGGUAUGCCGGCGAGAUGGCGCACGGGAUGCGCUAACACGAUAUGCAAAUCUACCUUUAACUGGGGGAUAGCCCCGUAGAAAUCGGGAUUAAUACCCCAUAACAUUAUGGUGAGGCAUCUCACUAUAAUUAAAGCUCCGGCGGUUUUAGAUGAGCAUGCGCGACAUUAGUUAGUUGGUGAGGUAACGGCUCACCAAGACUUCGAUGUCUAGGGGUUCUGAGAGGAUUCACCCCCACACUGGUACUGAGACACGGACCAAACUCCUACGGGAGGCAGCAGUAAGGAAUAUUGGUCAAUGGACGCAAGUCUGAACCAGCCAUGCCGCGUGAAGGAAGACGGCCCUACAGGUUGUAAACUUCUUUUGUACGGGAAAAAACCACCGGUCGUGUACCGGUGCUGAUGGUACCGUAGGAAUAAGCAUCGGCUAACUCCGUGCCACUCAGCCGCGGUAAUACUGAAGAUGCAAGCGUUAUCCGGAUUCCUUGGGUUUAAAGGGUGCUCAAGCGUGAAUGAUACAGUCAAGUGGUGAAAAUCCUAUGGCUCAACUGUAGAACUGUCAUUGACACUGAUCAUUC